rnacentral:lncRNA from 1 species
AUGGCCGCGCUCGCUCCGCAGCGCCCGCAGACUGCCGGGCACCGGGCCGGGCCCGCCGGGCCGCACCGCCCCCCGCCCCGCCGGGGAGGGGCCGCCGCCGCCGCCAAUCCGCGACCGGCACCGGUACCCCCGGCACCGGUACCCCCGGGCACCCCCGGCACCCCCAGCACCGGCACCCCCGGCAUCGGCACCCCCGGCACCGGCACCCCCGGGCACCCCCAGCGCCGGUACCCCCGGGCACCCCCGGCACCGGUACCCCCGGGCACCCCCAGCACCGGUACCCCCGGCACCGGCACCCCCGGGCACCCCCGGCACCGGUACCCCCGGGCACCCCCAGCACCGGUACCCCCGGCACCGGCACCCCCGGGCACCCCCGGCACCGGUACCCCCGGGCACCCCCGGCACCGGUACCCCCGGGCACCCCCAGCACCGGUACCCCCGGGCACCGGCACCCCCGGCACCGGCACCCCCAGCACCGACACCCCCGGCACCGGUACCCCCGGCACCGGCACCCCCAGCACCGGCACCCCCGGCACCGACACCCCCGGCACCGGCACCCCCAGCACCGACACCCCCGGCACCGGUACCCCCGGCACCGGCACCCCCAGCACCGACACCCCCGGCACCGGCAGCCCGGGUACGCCCGCCAUCCGCAGCCCCGGCACCCACGGCGUGCCCCCUAUCCCCGGCACCCCCGGCAACCUCGGCGCUCCCGAAAGUGGCACCCCCGGCAGGGCGACUGGGUCCGGACCGGUGCUCCUACAGGGUCUCAACCGGGACCAGUGCCACGGUGGGAUCACAGCCGUGCCCCAGCUCCCGGGGUGGCGACCAAACCCCCCCCCCCCCCCCAUAGCUGAUUCCCGUUCCCCCAGCCAGGUCCCUGCACCCCCGACCCAGCCCCGAGGUGCCCGGGGACGGCGGCCGCGGGGCUGGGUGACGCGGGACGGGGAGAGCCCUGGAGGUGUCCCCGCACACGGGGAUCGCUGGGGCACUGUCUGGCCUCGGACAGGGGUUCAGGGCUCUGGAGGUCCCUCACAGGGACGAAGCAACCACGUCCUUUCAGGCCUGAGCCAUCCAGGCCCGCUCCGGUGA